rnacentral:rRNA from 1 species
UCCGCAGGCGGUCAAUUAAGUCAGAGGUGAAAUACCAUAGCUCAACUAUGGAACUGCCUUUGAUACUGGUUGACUUGAGUCAUAUGGAAGUAGAUAGAAUGUGUAGUGUAGCGGUGAAAUGCAUAGAUAUUACACAGAAUACCGAUUGCGAAGGUAGUCUACUACGUAUGUACUGACGCUGAGGGACGAAAGCGUGGGGAGCGAACAGGAUUAGAUACCCUGGUAGUCC